rnacentral:rRNA from 1 species
GUGAAAUACAAAUCGGACUAGGAUAUAGCUGGUUUUCUGCGAAAAUUGUUUUGGCAAAUUGUUUAUUCCUCUAAAAAAUAGUAGGUAUAGCACUGAAUAUCUCGAGGGAGUAUGAAAAUAUUUAUCUCAGAUAUUUAAUCUCAAAAUAACUAUUUCUUAAAAUAAAUAAUCAGACUAUGUGCGAUAAGGUAGAUAGUCGAAAGGGAAACAGCCCAGAACAGUAAUUAAAGCUCCCCAAUUAAUAUUAAGUG